GAUGAACGCUGGCGGCGUGCCUAAUACAUGCAAGUCGAGCGAACAGACGAGUAGCUUGCUCCUCUGACGUUAGCGGCGGACGGGUGAGUAACACGUGGAUCACCUACCUAUAAGACUGGGAUAACUUCGGUAAACCGGAGCUAAUACCGGAUAAUAUAUUGAACCGCAUGGUUCAAUAGUGAAAGACGGUUUUGCUGUCACUUAUAGAUGGAUCCGCGCCGCAUUAGCUAGUUGGUAAGGUAACGGCUUACCAAGGCAACGAUGCGUAGCCGACCUGAGAGGGUGAUCGGCCACACUGGAACUGAGACACGGUCCAGACUCCUACGGGAGGCAGCAGUAGGGAAUCUUGCGCAAUGGGCGAAAGCUUGACGGAGCAACGCCGCGUGAGUGAUGAAGGUCUUCGGAUCGUAAAACUCUGUUAUUAGGGAAGAAAAAAUUUGUAAGUAACUAUGCACGUCUUGACGGUACCUAAUCAGAAAGCCACGGCUAACUACGUG
rnacentral:rRNA from 1 species